rnacentral:lncRNA from 1 species
UGGAGCUAGCAAGAGGAAGUAACUGGUUCCACUGCACAGUCUAGGCAGUGAUGCAGAGAAUUUGCAGGGAAGCUUAGGACAUCUCUCAGCUAAUGGGACCCAUACAUGAAAUAUUGCCCAGAAAUGGCUCCAAAGAAUUUUCAGCAUCAAUCAACAAGAUAGAUGAAGAGAAAGAGAGAAGCAGCACAACUUGCCCACAUAUGAAGUCAAGAGGAAACUGAAUGUGACACACAGAUGAGCAGCAUCUUGGAACAUAUCAAGUAUAUGCAUCUCUUCGGAGCAUCAAAUCUUUUCACAUGUAUUUGGAGCCUUUGAAAAGAAAGUGGAGAAUAGGACAAUGAGCAACUGAAUAAUAGAUUCAGAGAGAAGCUGCUUGUGAAAUGAAUACAGAUCUACAUAAAUGAAGAGGAGAAUAAUAUGAAAGAACAAAACAAAAGAAUCUACCACAGAAAGACAGUGUUGUGAUUAUGCUAAUGAAAAGUAUUGUAAUUAGCUCUUCCACUGCUCUUCUGAUAAGAUAUUAAACCAAAUCAAAAUGGACCUCUCUCCUUCAGCACUACUCAAGUGAGGCAGAUUUUUUGUACAGUGACAUUUUUUUGGUGUCACCAAGUAAGGAAAUUAUAAACAUAGCUAUAAUCUCUUACACUGUAAAAAGAGUAUGGAGUAAAACAGGAAGUGAAAUCUAAGCAUGGG